rnacentral:lncRNA from 1 species
AUGCAGCCUGCUUCUGCAAAGUGGUACGAUCAAAGGCACUAUGUCUUCAUUGAAUUUUGUGUUGAAGACAGUAAGGAUGUUAAUGUAAAUUUUGAAAAAUCCAAACUUACAUUCAGUUGUCUCGGAGGAAGUGAUAAUUUUAAGCAUUUAAAUGAAAUUGAUCUUUUUCACUGUAUUGAUACAAACGAUUCCAAGCAUAAAAGAACGGACAGAUCAAUUUUAUGUUGUUUACGAAAAGGAGAAUCUGGACAGUCAUGGCCAAGGUUAACAAAAGAAAGGGCAAAGAUGAUGAAUAACAUGGGUGGUGAUGAGGAUGUAGAUUUACCAGAAGUAGAUGGAGCAGAUGAUGAUUCACAAGACAGUGAUGAUGAAAAAAUGCCAGAUCUGCAGUAA